GGCGAACGGGUGAGUAACACGUGGGCAAUCUGCCCUGCACUCUGGGACAAGCCCUGGAAACGGGGUCUAAUACCGGAUAUUGACCUUCACGGGCAUCUGUGAGGUUCGAAAGCUCCGGCGGUGCAGGAUGAGCCCGCGGCCUAUCAGCUUGUUGGUGAGGUAAUGGCUCACCAAGGCGACGACGGGUAGCCGGCCUGAGAGGGCGACCGGCCACACUGGGACUGAGACACGGCCCAGACUCCUACGGGAGGCAGCAGUGGGGAAUAUUGCACAAUGGGCGAAAGCCUGAUGCAGCGACGCCGCGUGAGGGAUGACGGCCUUCGGGUUGUAAACCUCUUUCAGCAGGGAAGAAGCGAAAGUGACGGUACCUGCAGAAGAAGCGCCGGCUAACUACGUGCCAGCAGCCGCGGUAAUACGUAGGGCGCAAGCGUUGUCCGGAAUUAUUGGGCGUAAAGAGCUCGUAGGCGGCUUGUCACGUCGGUUGUGAAAGCCCGGGGCUUAACCCCGGGUCUGCAGUCGAUACGGGCAGGCUAGAGUUCGGUAGGGGAGAUCGGAAUUCCUGGUGUAGCGGUGAAAUGCGCCGAUAUCA
rnacentral:rRNA from 1 species